GGGACAUUUUGAGUUCCGACAUAAAUCCAUCUUUUUUAGUGUCAUUUUUUCAGCAAUCCGUGUAUGCAACCCAUGUUACGCUAUUUAUGCAAAAGUGGAUAAUGUGAUUUUUUUUUUUAUAUGCCAAUAAGGAUUUGGGAACAUUGAGGUGAAGUUCUUGAUGUUUUUCACAACUAGACUACACAACAUUUCACAACAUUUGGUUAAUUGGAGUACUCCUUUACAAUCAGAUGUAUAACAAAGUGUUCAGGAGAUGCUGCUCCUUGCUUGCAAACACUCAAGUUUUCAUAUUUGUCAGUCCUUGAUGAACUACAACUGCAUUUUUGGUACAAAAAACAUUUGUACUACUACCUCAAACAAUGUGUUUUCUUAACUUCAUGGCUACAGCUUUCCUCUCAGUGCAGCUCCUGCUUCAAGCUAGGAAACCAAAGAACACUCCUUAUGAACCAGUUGAAGGAGCAUUGCCAUCUUGCUGAAGUUCAGCACUGCAGCACCUACUUCAUGUCUAACAUUUUUGGGAAUUACAAAUUGCCUGACACUCCCCAAGAGCAUUGAUACAGCACAGACUAGAGGGAAAAGGAUGCUUUUCAUAAUGUGGAUAUGAACACUUCUGAAUACUCUGACAGAAAGCCUGUCUCUGUAUGAAAGAGAGGAAUCCUUUUCACUAGCACGUUUAAGUAUAGACUUAAACCCAGCAGUCAGAUCUCUGCCCUGCCACACUUCGAAUUUUAAAGACUAUGUAGGAUAUGCUAGCAUGAUAUUACUACAGCUUUUUUGAAGAAGAUUUUCUUCCUGUGGUCCAUUUUAUCUUUGCCAGUUAUAAGUUGUUUCAAACUGGAGUUGACUGACUGCAGCUCCUGAGGCACACCAGCUGCCAUGCUGCAGUGCAGCAUCGACCUCUGUGUUCUGGAUGACUCCAACAGAACUGUUCAAGUAAUUUGACAUUAAAAUAAUGUUCAGUGACUCUGUCAUUUUCAACCAAUUUCCUGAAUAAUUUCAAAUCUAUUAAUAUACAGGAAACUGCUGCUUGACAAAGGUUGGAUUCUGUGAAUGCAGGAGUACCAGUUAAUUUUUAACUUCCCUUAUUAUCUGAAAUGAAACCUGAUAUGACAGACUCAUUUUCAGUACCAGAUAGUGAGGAAGAUGGAAGCAGUGGACACAACUGACAUCCUUGUCUGAAAAAUUGCAGUAAUCUUUUAUUUUCCUUGUAGUCCUAUUUUUUACAUGAAACAAAGAAAGCUAAGCUAAAAAUAUAAUGCUACUGCACCAGCCUUCGGAGACUUUUCUCCAAAAACUCACAGAAAUUCAGGAGAAGAAAUCUGAUUUUGAACAGGAAUUUUGCCUUUACAGUUGUAGUUUAUUAACCGAGCCUGUUGAUUACAGUUACAAAAAGCCCAGCAAUAUUUUCUUUCUUUAUCAGGUUUCUUGGCUGGAAUUAAAACAAAAGAGCUUAUUGAUCUGUAAUAGGCGCAAUCUAGAUCUUGUUACUGCUUCUUUUAAUGUUGUCUCCAUUUUUGUUUUCAUGGUUUUACCUAAUGACAAUAUUAAAUAACAAAAAAAAAGCCAACGUAUAGCCUGACACUUUAAGGCUCUGAACUCCCUUAAAAAUUGUGGCAAAUAAGUUUUUAAUUUACCUGUUACAGUUUGGACAGCUAACAAUUCUGGCUGUGAAGUUUACACCUGAUUAUAUUUUUCAUGGUCUCUUAGAAUGCAUGCACUAAAGGAUGUUGGUGCCAAGCUACUUAAAGCUCGGUGAAAAGAUCAUUGCUCUGCUGAAGUGACUGACUGCAUAUUAUGAGGCAGUAAGAACUGAAUCAUUAAAGAGUUUAUUUUCAGCAGACAGAAAAAGGAAUGAUGUUGUCAGAUUGAAAGAUAUGACAUAUUGUUUUACUUUGAUGAAUAUUGAAGAUUGUCUCUCAAAGAAAAAUUGACGACCGCAGAUCUUCACAUGUCAAAAAAAUAGAUAAGCCCAAGGGGAAAAAGGAAAGGGAACCACAAGCUAAAAAUUGAGCUGUUGAAAUGUGAUGAUUAUUGUAGUCAUUAUACUACUGUCAAUUAGAUUAGCAAGUAGCUCUGGAAAUGUUAUUGGAUGACAAAGUAAUGGAAAACUUAUUUUGACUGCAACCAAUUGGCUUACAGCAAAUUAUCUAAUGAGUAACUUGAGUUUUCAACUCCAAGGUGGAUUCUCAAACUCAAUCUUCUGGAUAAAUACCUAAAAUAAAUCAGAUCAUUAUCUUCUUACAAACAAUAUCUCUGGAACACAGAAAACAAACAACUCUCAUUGAAAUUUCCCCAAAUACUUCUGAAGAAAUGGAAAAUAUGCAUAUCUCUAUUUCUUUGAAAUAGGCAGACUCUGAAUACUCCUUUCUGUCAAUCCAGCCUUCAUAAAGGAACUCACAGAAAGGCAACAGGCCUCUCUGGACAGGAGGCCAGCUUUAGCAUUUGAUGUAGGGAAAAGAGCAACUGUAGAAAAGGGCAACUUCAGGACAAAGAGACUCAGGUCUGAGUCCCCAGCUCAAUGAACACAAGCCUGGAACCACAUGAAAAGCAUAUGACCAUGUGCAAGGAAGUGACGAAUUUUCAUGGCCUAUCUCUUUCUUUACUCUCCAUACAUGCUGGGUGGAGCUUGGUUUCUGGAAGGAGCUAGACAUUGUGUUUCUAUUCUGUCUUAACUGCCUGAUCCUUUAUUUUUAAUCUAGUGAAAAAAAGAUAAUUUCCAUUUAAUACUGCUAAACAAAAUAUGGUAGUUUGUCAGUAUACGUAGUUAAUGUUAGGUAUGCAAGAAUUGGGAAAAUAUGCCAAAGAUAUAGAAAAGCUGUUAAAGUAUAACUUAAUUCCUCAUCUCUAGUCAGAAUUGAGACAAUCUACAUAAAAUUUAUGCCACGACUUCAAAAAAGAUAGUGUUUUGGGGUAGAUUCUUAAUCUAGUCACAACAUGACAGAUGUGAAGGUCCAUUAGCACCAUUAUUUAUUUAGAAUUAAUUUAUGUAAACAAGUCUGAAAUUUAAACAUGUGUAUCCAUACACAGGCUCUUCAUAUGAGCACCAAAACUAUUUUUCAAGUAAUACAAGUUAAAUUGACACAUCUUUUAAUACAAGAAAAACUUACUUUGCAGUUUGAGGCAUUGAAUGGCUGAAUUUCUAUGCAUUUGUCUCACACAGAGUAGGAAAGGAAAGCAGUAAUAAUAGCCAUGAGUCAAAGCUGUGGUAGCAGGCUUCAAACUGUAACAUUGGUAUAUGUUCACUAAAAAUAUGGCUGUAAUAACUGCAAGAUCGUUCUGUCCAGUAUUUAUUACAGUGAUGAUGUACUGAUGACACAGUAUGGUUUCAUAAAACCCAGACUCUUUAAUCCA